rnacentral:rRNA from 1 species
CGGCACGCCUAACACAUGCAAGUCGAACGAAGUAGCAAUACUUAGUGGCAGACGGGUGAGUAACAUGUAGGUAUCUGCCCUUUGGCCUGGAAUAACACGAGGAAACUUGUGCUAAUACCGGAUAAGUCUUUACGGAGAAAGCUUUAUGCACCAUUGGAUGAGCCUGCACUUGAUUAGUUUGUUGGUGGGGUAAUGGCCUACCAAGACUGUGAUCAAUAGCUGAUUUGAGAGGAUGAUCAGCCACAUUGGGACUGAGACACGGCCCAAACUCCUACGGGAGGCAGCAGUGGGGAAUCUUGCACAAUGGAGGAAACUCUGAUGCAGCGAUGCCGCGUGAGUGAAGAAGGCCCUUGGGUUGUAAAGCUCUUUCGUCGGGGAAGAAAAUGACUGUACCCGAAUAAGAAGGUCCGGCUAACU